AUGGUGUUGGAGCCACGGAUGUGUUGCGCCUUCUGUGUGUGGAAGCCAGCCACGCUCUGAAUAGCGGUGUUGGGGCUGUGCUUCCACGCUGGGCUCCAAAUCAGCACUGGAGUGUGCCGCCGACGGGCAGGUGUACCCUUUCAUCAUUUGAAGUCAGGCUCAGUCUGAGCCACUACAGGAGACCAGUCCUUAACGGCCGCUGUGUCUUACAGCCCUCCACCGCCCAGCUGAUGAUCAGGUGCCGGGGCUCCGGUGCUUUCUCAUCCCGUCGAUGGCACACUCCAGUGAGGCUGAUUUGGAGCCCGGCAUGGAAGCGCAGCCCCAACACCACUAUUCAGAGCGUGGCUGGCUUUCACACACAGCCAGCGCAACACAUCCGUGGCUCCAACACCAUUCUCCUUCUACACCAGGUGAAGUGCAGGGAGGCUCAAUCGGAGCUGCCCGUGGGAGGUCAGUCCAGCCGUUCCUGGUGAGAGCUCACUGACAUCGUGUCGCACAGGCAACAUCCAGCGGUCCGGGUCCGACAGCCUGCACACGGCUGCAUUCCACCUCAACCCGGCGGUUAUUGCAGACACUGCUCUCCCUCCUCCGUGCGGGGGCAAAUGGCUGGCUGUAUUAACAUCACUCCGGGCUCUCCCUGCUAUUACCAUCACAGCAGCCUGGUUUUGUUGGACACAGUCUAUCUGUCUACCCUUGCAUCUAUUUGAGCGUCAAAAUCCUAUUGCAAGGGUUCUUUCCACUAUAGGAAUAUUGGAAUUGAUACACGUCCGUACGGAAUAAGGACUGUUUGGGACUUCCACAUAAUAAGUCUUUUUGGAAUGUGAAAAGAGUUUAUAAAGAUUUUGUGGAGAGCAGACCACCAGAAUUUUAAAGUUGGCUACAAAGAAUCUGUAUUCUCAUCCUCAUUAGAGGAUAUUAGAUGAGCUUGCUUCACACAGUAUUCUGCCGGAACUGAAUAUUUGGAAGUUGUCAUUGAUAAGUUCAAGAAGUGUCAGGAAUUUCUUGUCUCCAUAUUCAAACCGUUUCCCAAAAACAAUGGAGCAGAUAACAUUGGAGACAGCACGACUGAAGAAGAAGGUUACAUCGAUGGGUUUUUCUAUAGAAAGACAGAAGAAUUGAGCCUCCUCCUGAAUGCGCUCCUCAACACUCCUCUUACCCAUACCAAAAUUCCGAAGUGUAACAAGGGCAAACCGCCUGAGGAUCUUCCACUUUUCCCCAUUGGAGAAUGCUAUUCCUGUGGUAAUGACAAUGUCACACUACAAAAUUAUGAUAUACAUAGAAAACCAACGUAAGUUUUAUACUGUAUUUACUACUGAUUAUUAGU